rnacentral:tRNA from 1 species
GGGGUUGUGGCUCAGCGGUAGAGCGCUCGCCUCGCAUGGGCGAGACCCUGGGUUUGAUCCUCAGCACCA